AUUGAACGCUGGCGGCAUGCCUUACACAUGCAAGUCGAACGGCAGCACGGGAGCAAUCCUGGUGGCGAGUGGCGAACGGGUGAGUAAUACAUCGGAACGUGUCCUGUAGUGGGGGAUAGCCCGGCGAAAGCCGGAUUAAUACCGCAUACGCUCUGCGGAGGAAAGCGGGGGAUCCUUCGGGACCUCGCGCUACAGGGGCGGCCGAUGGCAGAUUAGCUAGUUGGGGGGUAAAAGGCCUACCAAGGCGACGAUCUGUAGCUGGUCUGAGAGGACGACCAGCCACACUGGGACUGAGACACGGCCCAGACUCCUACGGGAGGCAGCAGUGGGGAAUUUGGACAAUGGGCGCAAGCCUGAUCCAGCAAUGCCGCGUGUGUGAAGAAGGCCUCGGUUGUAAGU
rnacentral:rRNA from 1 species